AGGACGAACGCUGGCGGCGUGCUUAACACAUGCAAGUCGAGCGGAAAGGCCCUUCGGGGUACUCGAGCGGCGAACGGGUGAGUAACACGUGAGCAAUCUGCCCCUAGCUUCGGGAUAGCUCCGGGAAACCGGAUUAAUACCGAAUACGACUACGGCCGACAUCGGCUGUGGUGGAAAGUUUUUCGGCUAGGGAUGAGCUCGCGGCCUAUCAGCUUGUUGGUGAGGUAACGGCUCACCAAGGCGACGAC
rnacentral:rRNA from 1 species